AUUGAACGCUGGCGGCAGGCCUAACACAUGCAAGUCGAGCGGAGCGGCGGACGGGUGAGUAAUGCCUAGGAAUCUGCCUGGUGGUGGGGGAUAACGUUCGGUAACGGGCGCUAAUACCGCAUACUAUCAGCAGAGCCUAGGUCGGAUUAGCUAGUUGGUGGGGUAAAGGCCAACCAAGGCGACGACCCGUAGCUGGUCUGAGAGGAUGAUCAGUCACACUGGGACUGAGACACGGUCCAGACUCCUACGGGAGGCAGCAGUGGGGAAUAUUGGACAAUGGGCGAAAGCCUGAUCCAGCCAUGCCGCGUGUGUGAAGAAGGUCUUCGGAUUGUAAAGCACUUUAAGUAGGGAGGCGUUACCAACAGAAGAAGCACCGGCUAACUUCGUGCCAGCAGCCGCGGUAAUAC
rnacentral:rRNA from 1 species